GAAAGUAAGCAAGGGCAGACGGUGGAUGCCUUGGCUCUCGGAGGCGACGAAGGACGUGAUAAGCUGCGAAAAGCCCGGGGGAGGCGCAAAUAGCCCUUGAUCCCGGGAUAUCCGAAUGGGGCAACCCGGCAGGCUGAAGGCCUGCCAUCCCGUAAGGGAGGCGAACGUGGGGAACUGAAACAUCUAAGUACCCAUAGGAGGAGAAAAUAAACAAUGAUUCCGUAAGUAGUGGCGAGCGAACACGGAAGAGCCCAAACCCAUGUCGUCUAGGCGACACGGGGGUUGUAGGACCACGACGUGGCAAGAUAGAGUCAAGUGGAACGCCUUGGAAAAGGCGACCGUAGAGGGUGAUAGUCCCGUACACGACUGACGAUUGAAGCCUAGUGGUAUCCUGAGUAGCGCGGGGCACGAGAAAUCUUGCGUGAAACAGCGGGGCCCAUCCCGUAAGGCUAAAUACUCCCGAGAGACCGAUAGCGAACCAGUACCGUGAGGGAAAGGUGAAAAGAACCCCGAGCAGGGGAGUGAAAUAGACCCUGAACCCGUCUGCCUACAAGCGGUCGGAGCGUUGUUAUGACGUGACGGCGUGCCUUUUGCAUAAUGAACCUACGAGUUACCUUCCCCGGCAAGGUUAAGUACCUAAGGUACGGAGCCGAAGCGAAAGCGAGUCUGAAGAGGGCGGCCAGUCGGGGGGGGUAGACGCGAAACCGAGUGAUCUACCCUUGGCCAGGUUGAAGGUUGGGUAACACCAACUGGAGGACCGGAUGGGUAAGCGUUGAAAAGCUUUCCAAUGAGCUGAGGGUAGGGGUGAAAGGCUAAUCAAACUCGGAGAUAGCUCGUACUCCCCGAAAUGCAUUUAGGUGCAGCCUCUUUAUAGUAUAUCGUGAGGUAGAGCGACUGAUUGGAUGCGAGGGCUUCACCGCCUAUCAAGUCCAGAUAAACUCCGAAUGCGCGAUAUAUAUUUACAGGGAGUGAGGGCGCGGGUGCUAAGGUCCGUGUCCGAGAGGAGAAGAAUCCAGACCACCGGCUAAGGCCCCCAAAUGAUCGUUGAGUUGAACUAACGAGGUCGGAUCGCAGAGACAGCUAGGAUGUUGGCUUGGAAGCAGCCAUUCAUUUAAAGAGUGCGUAACAGCUCACUAGUCGAGCGAUCUGGCGUGGAUAAUAAUCGGGCAUAAACGAUCUGCCGAAGCCGUGGAUGUCGUAAGACAUGGUAGGGGAGCAUUCCAUGCGGCGUCGAAGAUGAGGGAUGACCCUUGUUGGAGCGCAUGGAAAAGCAAAUGUAGGUAUGAGUAACGAUAAGGGGGGCGAGAAACCCCCCCGCCGAAAGACCAAGGUUUCCUGAUCAACGCUAAUCGGAUCAGGGUGAGUCGGGACCUAAGGCAAAGCCGAACGGCGCCGCCGAUGGAAGAAUGGGUUAAUAUUCCCAUACUGCCUCAUGGAGUGACGUGGAGACGGAGAAGUGACAGUCCUGCCGGCUGACGGAAUAGCCGGUUGAAGGGUGUAGAUAUUGAUUCCCGUAGGCAAAUCCGCGGGGAGAGUCGAACCUGACAGUAUACCGAGUACUUGUACGAGGUAAUAUGGACGUAACCAUGCUCCCAAGAAAAUCCGCUAAACUUAUCCAUGCGGCACCCGUACCGUAAACGGACACACGUGGUCGGGUUGAGAAUACUGAGGCGCUCGAGUGACUCACGGUUAAGGAACUAGGCAAAUUGACCCUGUAACUUCGGGAUAAAGGGUCCUCGUCGUAAGGCGAGGCGCAGAGAAUAGGUCCAGGCAACUGUUUAACAAAAACACAUGGCUAUGCUAAAUGGAAACAUGACGUAUAUAGCCUGACACCUGCCCGGUGCUGGAAGGUUAAGAGGAGAUGUCAUCGCAAGAGAAGCGUUGAAUUGAAGCCCCAGUAAACGGCGGCCGUAACUAUAACGGUCCUAAGGUAGCGAAAUUCCUUGUCGGGUAAGUUC
rnacentral:rRNA from 1 species